CUGUAUUUAACUGUCAUACACCAUUCAUUAAUUACCUAUUAAUUAAUCCCCACUUAAAUGUAGCGUCAAGAAUAUUAAACCACUGCCAGAAACCAACACAGUGCCUUCAGAAAGUAAUCAGCCGAGUCCUUGUACUCAGUUACGGCCAAAGUCUGCGACGACUUUUGGCCAACAAUAAAAGGCAGUCGAGUGGAGUCUGAAUGACAUUGUUCCUUUCAUUCUGCUGCCAAUUUCGCCCUUUCUUCCAGAAGGUCCUUACAAAUUAGCUGUGCGAGUGCCUUGCACUUAGUUUUUGUCUGUGUACUUUUCAAAAUUGGCUUUCACACGCCAUUUGCAUUUAAUUGCCGAGCUGCUAGGGAGCUGAAAGGAGAAUUGCAGUUCCAGUCCGGCAGUCCCCGGGGAAACCCAUUCGAUAAGUGCCAAUUUGGCCAUAAUGGGCAUUAAAGUUUCAGGCAAUUUGAGGAGUGUGGCUUUAAGGCCAGCUGAAGACACUUAAACCGCCAUCUAUCCUCAUCAUCAUCAUCUUGACGGUAUUUAUUGUCAAUAAAGCCUUGGCAAACAACAAAUGCGACACAGAAAAUAUUAUUGAAUUGGAAAGUCACCAUAUUCCCAUUCCGCCGUCCGUAUUUCGAUCCCACUUCAAUUGAAAAUUGUCUGCGUGGCAAAAGUGAAAUGCUUCGGCGAGAGUCUUCAAUUCACAGAAUCGAAUCGAAUCGAAUCGAAACGAAACGCAACGAAUCGACGUCUCCUCUGGUGAUUUUGCUUCCUCCAUCGAAACCCGCUCCCCAGAUUCCCAAACUCGAUGCCGUGAUGCCAUUGAUGUUUUGCUGCGCACUCGAGUGUGUUUUCUUUAGUAAUGGAAUUUAUUAAUAUUUCAUUGUGUGGGCCCGUGAAAGUCAUUGGGGGAGGGGGAGUUGGGCGGAGGAGGGCCACAACGAGGGCGCCUGGGAUUGGGUUCCCAUCGAGUUUGCGGCUGACUUUAAGGAAUGUCAACAAUUGCCAGCACUUUGAAUGCUUCAGACAUCCAUCCCGCAGGCUCUUCACAUCUAUCGAAAUGUUCUCAAAAAGCGAAAAUGUUCACUCCUUCGGUUAAGUACUUUUUGAGGUUUCCAUUAUGAAUCGCUAUUGUAGGCCUACACAGCGGAAACAAAUUAACUAAAUUGAGCAUUGAUUUUGUGCAUAGCAAGUUAAAUGAACUCCUUGAUGGCAUGCUAAAAAGUACUUUACAUAAAUUUAACUUAUAUAGUAA